rnacentral:tRNA from 6 species
GCGGGUGUAACUCAAUUGGCAGAGUGCUAGCCUUCCAAGCUAGAUGUUGCCGGUUCGACCCCGGUCACCCGCUC